rnacentral:rRNA from 1 species
AUGCACGCUAGCUACAGGCUUAACACAUGCAAGUCGCGGGGCAGCAUGGGGGUUGCUUGCAAUCCCCGAUGGCGACCGGCGCACGGGUGAGUAACGCGUAUCCAACCUGCCCUUCACCACGGGAUAACCCGGCGAAAGUCGGACUAAUACCGUAUGUUGUCCAUUGACGGCAUCCGAUUUGGACGAAAGGUUUGGCGGUGAAGGAUGGGGAUGCGUCCGAUUAGCUGGACGGCGGGGUGACGGCCCACCGUGGCGACGAUCGGUAGGGGUUCUGAGAGGAAGGUCCCCCACACUGGAACUGAGACACGGUCCAGACUCCUACGGGAGGCAGCAGUGAGGAAUAUUGGUCAAUGGGCGUAAGCCUGAACCAGCCAAGUAGCGUGCAGGAUGACGGCCCUAUGGGUUGUAAACUGCUUUUAUGCGGGGAUAAAGUGGCCCACGUGUGGGUUUUUGCAGGUACCGCAUGAAUAAGGACCGGCUAAUUCCGUG